rnacentral:rRNA from 1 species
UAGAGUUUGAUCCUGGCUCAGGAUGAACUCUGGCGGCGUGCUUAACACAUGCAAGUUAUACGGGUGUAGCAAUACACAAGUAGCGGACGGGUGAGUAAUGCACAAGAACUUAUCUCUUAGAGAGAGACAACUGUGGGAAACCAGAGCUAAUAUCUCGUAGGCCGAAAGGUGAAAGUAGCAAUACGCUUUGAGAGAGGCUUGUGUCCUAUCAGGUAGUUGGUGAGAUAAAAGCUUACCAAGCCGAAGACGGGUAACCGGACUGAGAGGUUGUACGGUCACAUUGGAACUGAGACACGGUCCAGACUCCUACGGGAGGCAGCAGUGGGGAAUAUUGGGCAAUGGGCGAAAGCCUGACCCGGCGACGCCGCGUGAGGGAAGAAAGCCUUCGGGUUGUAAACCUCUGUUGAAAGGGAAGAAAAGAAUGACGGUACCUUUCGAGGAAGCUCCGGCUAACUACGUGCCAGCAGCCGCGGUAAUACGUAGGGAGCGAGCGUUGUCCGGAAUUACUGGGCGUAAAGGGCACGUAGGCGGUGUUUCAAGUUGUCUGUAAAAAACGUGGGCUUAACUUGCGUGUGCAGACAAAACUGGAACGCUAGAGGCGUGAAGAGGCAGACAGAAUUUCUGGUGUAGCGGUGAAAUGCGUAGAUAUCAGGAAGAAUAUCGGUGGCGAAGGCGGUCUGCUGGUCACGAACUGACGCUGAGGUGCGAAAGCUAGGGGAGCAAACGGGAUUAGAUACCCUGGUAGUCCCGACCUUAAACGGUGCACACUCGGGGUGGGGCCAUUUCACCGGUCCCGUCCCUUAGCUAACGCGUUAAGUGUGCCGCCUGGGGAGUACGGCCGCAAGGCUAAAACUCAAAGAAAUUGACGGGGGCCCGCACAAGCAGAGGAGCAUGUGGCUUAAUUCGAUGCAACGCGAAGAACCUUACCUGGAUUUGACAUCGUCGGCAAUGCCUUAUGAAAGUUUGGCGGAGGUUAUCCGAUAGACAGGUGCUGCAUGGCUGUCGUCAGUUCGUGCCGUGAGGUGUUUGGUUAAGUCCACCAACGAACGCAACCCCUUUGAUGUGUUGCCAUCGGGUCAAGCCGGGAACUCGCAUCAUACUGCCUGUUUACGCGAGAGGAAGGUGGGGAUGACGUCAAGUCAGUAUGGCCCUUACAUCCAGGGCUGCACACGUGCUACAAUGGCCGGUACAGAGGGACGCGAGACCGCAAGGUGGAGCCAAUCCCAGAGAGCCGGCCUCAGUUCAGAUCGGGGUCUGCAACCCGACCCCGUGAAGUCGGAUUUGCUAGUAACGGCGUAUCAGCUACGACGCCGUGAAUGCGUUCCCGGGCCUUGCACUCACCGCCGGUCA